GUGCUGGCAGCAUGUAUCCUAUCCUUGGAACAAUACAGAGAAGAUAGGCAUGGCCCCUGCACGAGGGUGACAUGGAUUCCCGAAGCUGCAGGCCUGGUUUUC
rnacentral:snRNA from 1 species